UACGGGGGGGGCAAGCGUUGUUCGGAAUUACUGGGCGUAAAGGGCCAGUAGGCGGCCAACUAAGUCCGACGUGAAAUCCCAAGGCUUAACCUUGGAACUGCGUCGGAUACUGGAUGGCUUGAAUUCGGGAGAGGGAUGCAGAAUUCCAGGUGUAGCGGUGAAAUGCGUAGAUAUCUGGAGGAAUACCGGUGGCGAAGGCGGCAUCCUGGACCGACAUUGACGCUGAUGCGCGAAAGCUAGGGGAGCAAACAGG
rnacentral:rRNA from 1 species